CUUCCAAGAAUAUGGGCACAGUGGUGAGA
rnacentral:piRNA from 1 species